CUAAGGAUGGUUCUUCAGAAGCUUGCUUCUAUCGAACCGUUUUAGAAACAUCAGUGGCCAACGAUCGCCAGAUCGUUGAGCUGCAUUGGCGGGAUUUCGCCGUCUUCGUUUCUCUUUCUUCGCGGACGAACACGCGCUGGGGCUGCAAGCUUUGCAGAAUCCCUGGUCCUUGACUGGAUAUGCGUUAGGGGCUUGUAGCUCAGUUGGUUAGAGCGCGCGCUUGAUAAGCGUGAGGUCGGAAGUUCAAGUCUUCCCAGGCCCACCACACUCAUCGAGUGAGCAUUCGUCUUCUGGUUACGGGGCCAUAGCUCAGCUGGGAGAGCGCGUGCUUUGCAAGCAUGAGGUCGUCGGUUCGAUCCCGUCUGGCUCCACCAGAUGGUUUGAUCAUCGACUGAUCGUGCACCUAAAUCGUCCGCGAAACAUCACUUCGCACUUGCUAGUCCGGAUGGACAGUAAGCUGCGUGUUUUCUGACAUCGUAAAGAGGAGAUCGAUCCGAGUUGGGUCGUGCAGCAAGCAAUUGCUACGCGACACUUCAUUAUCUCCGGAUCAUUUCGGCGCUUGCGCGCCUUUCAGUGCAGCUCACAAGGCUGCGUCUGAGAGACGAGCGAGUUGUAAAUGAUCCUUUUAGCGAAGCUUGACCGCCUCGCUAUCGGAACGAUCUUACGAAGCAAGCUGGUCUUUCUAAUCAUUGUCCGGCUGUACGUAGCGUUCAUCGAGGGCGCGUGCCUUAGAGACUUAGGUUUCUUGGCAAUCGUACAGACAACAUUCUGCCGAGUGUGUGGACAUUGAUAAUGAGAGC
rnacentral:tRNA from 1 species